GAAACCCUGUCUCGAAAAACCAAAAAAAAAAAAAAAAAAAAAAAAAAAAUCCAUUUACCAAUGUUUAUUAUGUGGUCCUUGACUUCCUUCUGUGAUUUCUGCUCAGCUUUAAUCCCACUUUUCUUGUUGAUAGGUACUCUUCUACUGCAAUGAAAUGAAUUGGAUACUCAUCUUCUAAGUGGUCCAUUGUUUAUUUAAAUAUGAGGGCAGUGAGAUCAUACAUUUCCAGUAAGCUUGCUGGUGAAAGCAUGGUGGGUGCUGCUUUGUGUUUCAUUUUCUCACAUAUUCUUCUGAGAGUUGGUUGUUAUGCAUCCUACCUUUGGUGUCAGUCAUUAGUCAGGAUUAUCCUUUUACUCUUGAUAAUCAUGUGUCAGCCUUCUGAGUACAAGUCCAAAGAUAGAAGAUGUACACUCAGUGGGUGCUGUUUUGUCAACACGCUUUAAUGAUAUUAAAAUUAAAAUGCUUAGGGCUAGAGAGAUGGCUCGUCGGUUAAGUAUACCGAUUGCUCUUCCAAAGGCCCUAAGUUCAAAUCCCAGCAACCACAUGGUGGUUCACAACCAUCUGCAAUGAGAUCUGAUGCCCUCUUCUGGUGUGUCUGAAGAAGGCAUCAGAUCUCAUAUAUAAUAAAUAAAUCUUUAAAAAAUUAAAAUGCUUAAUAGAUGAAAAUAGAAAGAACAAUGAUACCUUGGGUAUACACCCAAAGCAUCCUAUUCAUCUAUCUCAGAGACGUAAUAAUGUAAAAUAAUCAGCAAUUCUUGCACACGCCCAAUUUGCCAGCAAGAACAACGCUGCAACAGGAUCCUUCUUCACACGUUUAUUGGGAAGGCUUGAUUGCAGAGCCGAAGAGACCCCAAACCCAGAACUGGUGGUGCUUAUAUAGGCCUAGGAGAGGCGUGUCUCACAUCCGGAUUGGUUAUGCAUGGGUUAUGCUUACCACCUCAUUUGCAUGUCUCACAUCUGAUUGGUUAACUUGUCUCUCAUCUGAUUGGUUAACUUGUCUCUCAUCUGAUUGGUUAAUUUUGGUUAAUUCUCAAAACCUCAUCUUGGCAAAAGAACUUUACUGCCUAUGUAUGCAUGGUGGCCAGUGGAAGCCAGCGCCACCCUGCAAGGGCACAUGUGGCUUCCCACAAGCAAUCAACUGUGUAUGUCACAACAUAGCUUGACAUUCAUUGUGUAUGUAUACAUUAUUUGUCAUUCCAUGCUACUUCAUAUCCUGUAAGUUGUGCAAUUGGCAUUUCAUCUUGACCCACUGCCUUCUAAGGAAAUUAUCUGUAUUGUAAGUGUGGUGAAUGUUAUUUUACAAUUUUUUACUUGGGUUUGUGUAGAAUAUGGUGAUGGGUUUUUAUGGAUCCACAGAUAUAUGGAGACUCAAAGAGAACUUUGUGGCUUCUACUUUUGGCCAUCAUUAUACUGAGAACAAGGAUAGGUUGGCAGCCUUCCUGACCAACUACUUCCGUACAAGGCCUUCUCAGUGAUAGUCACAUAAGAUUAAAUGAAAGAUUACAGCAGUAAAAUACAGUCUUCUUUUCAGAUUGUAAAUGUAUUGUCAUCUAACAUUAAGAAAAGAGGACAAAUUGAAUAAUAAGAAUAUAAAACACUCCUACAUCCCUUUUUUGUAAUGGGUCAGUUUUAGUUUUAGAAGGAAACACUUAUUAAAUAUAGGUGGGCAUGUUGUUGCCAGAUAAAACUUUUUUUUUUUUUUUGGCUUAAUGAGGCUGAGUGGUUCAGCCUAGCUGGUUAGAGUAGUUAGGACACAGUCCCUAGUCCUAACACUAUUAACAGAAGUCUCCCAUCCUAUGUAGCUCUCCUACCUAAAAGCCACUCUCUGUGAACUAAGAACAAUAUUAUUUUGGUUUAUGAUGGCAUCUGUUAUAAUUCACCAAAACUAGAGUAGACUUUUUUUUUUUUUUCCAAGACAGGGUUUCUCUGUACAGCCCUGGCUGUCCUGGAACCUUCUUUGUAGACCAGGCUGUCCUCGAACUCAGAAAUCCACCUACCUCUGCCUCCCAAGUGCUAGUGUAAAAGUCGUUUGCCACCACUGCCCGUAAUUUCAGUUUUUGAAUGUGAUUUCCUUUAAAUGCAUCUCUGCUAUUGUCUCUUAAUUGUUUUCAUUCUCCAAUACUUCCCAGUCAUUAAAAAUUUCUUUUCAUCUUUAAAGGUGCUGUAGAUUAUUUAUUCCUGUUUAGAGCAUUAUCUCUUGUACUAUGGGCUGGCUCAUACUCUGUAAUUUAGAAUUAAUUUGAACUUCCAAUCCUGUCUCUGCUGCCACAAGCUCGGGUGUCAGUCCUGCACCUCUCCCAGCCUGGGCUUUGACUGCAUUGAAAGGAAAGAUAGGCCAGUGAAUGAUUGUCAUCCAACUUCUGUUUUCUGUUGGGACUGUCCAAUGAAGCUGCACCUGUGCAAGAAUUGAAUUUUGUGACCAACUUUGAGAUAUGUUUAGUCAUAGCCCAGAAAGGGUCAGGACAAAAGGAGGUGAUAAUAUCUCUGCUUUGACAGUACUUAAGAUUUGCAUUGAAGUAAUCAAUUUUAGAUGAUUGAUAACUGUCCUGCUGACCCAUUUUUCUAUCCAACCCCAGACAAUCAAGUAUCUGGAUAAAAAGCUGAACUUGCUAAAAUGUCAGAUUACUGUAGUUACACUAGUUCUUCCAAGAAUAAUAUCUAGGUAAUGAUUGUGUUCCUACCGAAUGAGACAUUUUUCCAAGUUUUAAGAUGAUCCUCCUGAGAGACUAGGCCUGAGUAACACUUGGUGUGCUCUAAUACACUUCCCUCCUUCUGGAGAACAUAAUCAUCAAGCCUUUUCCACUUUAAAGCUGUAUUUUCCAUUAUACUUACAGCAUUCCCACCAUCUCUCUUCUGUCUCCGAAUUCCUUCAUAGACAAUCUAUUGUUUUUCAUGAGGGAUAUUUCUCUGUGAACAACAGUUACUGUUUGAAUGUGACCUAUGUUUGUCUGCAGGACUUCCCAGCUAUGAAGCAAAUUGAUGGCAGAACUAACUGUAGGUGUGUAAGAGAAUGUACACAUGAUGUACCCUGUUCCUUGAUUGAAUAAAUCAAGUAGACAUGCUC
rnacentral:lncRNA from 1 species